ACUGCUCAGUAACACGUGGAUAACCUGCCCUUGGGACCGGCAUAACCCCGGGAAACUGGGGAUAAUUCCGGAUAAACCGUAUCUGCUGGAAUGCUUUACGGUUCAAAUGGAUUCGUUCCGCCCAAGGAUGGGUCUGCGGCCUAUCAGGUAGUAGCGGGUGUAAUGUACCUGCUAGCCUACGACGGGUACGGGUUGUGAGAGCAAGAGCCCGGAGAUGGAUUCUGAGACAUGAAUCCAGGCCCUACGGGGCGCAGCAGGCGCGAAAACUUUACAAUGCGGGCAACCGUGAUAAGGGGACACCGAGUGCCAGCAACAAUUGCUGGCUGUCCACGUGCUUAAAUUGCACGUGUUAGCAAGGGCCGGGCAAGACCGGUGCCAGCCGCCGCGGUAACACCGGCGGCCCGAGUGGUGAUCGUUAUUAUUGGGUCUAAAGGGUCCGUAGCCGGUUUAGUCAGUCCUCCGGGAAAUCUGCCAGCUUAACUGGUAGGCUAUCGGGGGAUACUGCUAGACUUGGAACCGGGAGAGGUAAGAGGUACUACAGGGGUAGGAGUGAAAUCUUGUAAUCCCUGUGGGACCACCUGUGGCGAAGGCGUCUUACCAGAACGGGUUCGACGGUGAGGGACGAAAGCUGGGGGCACGAACCGGAUUAGAUACCCGGGUAGUCCCAGCUGUAAACGAUGCUCGCUAGGUGUCAGGCACGGUGCGACCGUGUUUGGUGCCGCAGGGAAGCCGUGAAGCGAGCCACCUGGGAAGUACGGCCGCAAGGCUGAAACUUAAAGGAAUUGGCGGGGGAG
rnacentral:rRNA from 1 species